UGUGCUUAGGAUGUAAGACCUCAUUAUAUAUCUAUCCAUAUAACUUUAGGUGUGAUAGAACGUCAAAGGUAGAGGGAGCAGACAGAAAUAGCCGGUACAGUACGCUAAAGGACAAGGUGGUACUCGCUAAGGGACAAGGUGGUACUCGAUAAGGACAAGGUGGUACUCGCUAAGGGACAAGGUGGUACUCGCUAAAGGACAAGGUGGUACUCGCUAAAGGACAAGGUGGUACUCGAUAAGACAUAGAGACAAUGCAGUCUGCUAAAGGACAAGGUGGUACUCGAUAAGACAUAGAGACAAUGCAGUCUGCUAAAGGACAAGGUGGUACUCGAUAAGACAUAGAGACAAUGCAGUCUGCUAAGGGACAAGGUGGUACUCGAUAAGACAUAGAGACAAUGCAGUCUGCUAAGGGACAAGGUGGUACUCGAUAAGACAUAGAGACAACGCAGUCUGCUAAAGGACAAGGUGAAUACUCUUGAAGAUAGUUAUAUACACCUUAUAUAAUAAACGGCACUAGUUUCCCUUUUUGUGGAAGAUGACGGAUCCAUUGAAUAAAAACUAUAAUGAGGUACGGGAUGGACAAUCACGGACCAUGGUCAAUAAAGACAAAUUUAAAACCGAGUGUUCUGACCGGAGGCUCGCUAUCUGCUGUGUGGUUUUGAUUGUGUUAAGCAUUGGUAUGAUGUUGGUGAUGUACCAUGAUAUAUGGUACUUAUCAGGGAUGUCAAAUAAACUCAAAGACUCUAUCCACGACCUCGAGGGAAUACAUCAACGCUUCACGUGGAUAACUCAUCGUCUUAGACAAGUACAAAACAACGUGUCUCACCCGCCGGAAGUGUUGAACAGCGUUGGCUAGGUGGUGUGAUGCGCCAAUAAUUAAUGCGCACAUAUAUUUCCGCAGUGACUACAAGAAAAGUGUGUCCCAGGAGGAUGGAUAUCACUUAUCUGAAUAUUGAAAGCAGCGUUGUGUGUUCCCCGGGAUUUUGUGGCGAAACGCAUGACGUAUCUGUGGGUCUAUCAAUUGCAUCAGAAUCAUAUGUGUGCAGUUUUAAAAAUAGCACACGUAAAGCCGUCAAAAAAGAGACGUUUCUAUUUUUAUUUUUAUUUUUUAACUUUCUUCAAUCAAUGGAGUAGGACAUCAGGCGUAGCCUAUCUAAUGUAAAUGGUAAAUAAAACAUACCAUUGCAAUUGUUAUAAUGUGAAUAAUUUGUUUCAGUCCUUUACAAAAGACGAACCCGAUAAAAAAUAUGUUGCGACGUAUUUGACAAAAUUAUAGUUGUUCAGAAUUUUAGUGUUUGGAAAUAGAAACAAAUCGAAAAUAAGAAUCACGGAGUAGAAAGCAAUGGUUAAACUAAUGAUCAUUGCACGAAACCCUGCCAAUGUUGCCACCAGAAUUAUAAAUUACGUGUUCGAUUUAUGUACAUUGAAAGAUACAUUCCUUGACAGGGGGGGGGGGGUCUCUAAGCCAGAAAAGAAUUUCUCUCUGAUGGCUUCUUAAUAAAUCUGGAUAGAACACGUCUCCGCGAUUACAACUGGUCCAGUAGUACCACAGGCACUAGCCUCGUCUGUCGAUACACCUAUAAAAUAAUCUUAUAGGUGUAUAACAGACGAGGCUAGUACCUGUGGUAGUACUAUUAACAUAAUGUACCUUUCCAAACUCAUUUUAUAAGCAAUGCAAUAAGUAUGGUGUAAGAGAGACAACUCCUAGUUGAUUUGUGAAAUAUACGUAAAUAUAUCUAUCUAAGAAAAUAUUAGGAAAAUAAUAAACGAAAGCCGCUUGCGACAUGAAUUGAUUAUUUUCCCAACAUUUUCGAAUACCGACAUAUUUUAUCCACACAUACAAACAUAUGUUGAUUAUAUCUAUUCUACCUAGUAAAGUGUAAUUAAAGUUAUGUCGUCAGUUCUACUUCAGUGGCUAUACGCCUAUAUUAAGCGAAGUUUCCUAAAUAACCUAAUUAUUCAAAUUGGGGUGUUCUGUCGCAAGUGCAAACAUUUCUCAUAUUGUAACAAAACAAUGAGAUUGCCUGCAGUGGGCACAGGCCCGAUCGAUCAGCUGAUCGGCCGGUUGAGUUGACCCAGUUUUGGAAUCGUCUAAUUAUGGCGUAAAGAACGUUCCAGUAUUGAUGGAAACUGUUUUGGCUCUUGAAAUAUAAAUGUUGAGAUCAACUGGUAAUUUCAUGACAAUUAAAUACUCUGUUAAUCAUUUUUUACGAGUGUGGGUGAAAUAUUGUACUAGUGCAUCGGGUCACGCACGCUAAAUAUAUCUUCAUUUAACGAAGCACGUCUAUAGAAAUUGGACGCUAAUAAAUUAUUCUUGUGUAUUAUUCAACAUUUGUACAAACCGGUGUGAUGUUCACGUUGACGAGAUGAAGUCAAUUCAUCUAUGUAUCGCCUGGUUUGGUCAUAUUUGGUCACGGUGGCUGUCGUCCGUUCGUGUGCCGCCGUCAACUUUCACGGCCAUGUUUGCACUACUUGGCGUCGGCUACAUAUCGGAAGUCAGUCUUAGAGGGGUGCUAUGUACCUAUUUAUAUUAUUUAUAGCUCGGUUAUAAAUUGUUAAUACCUUCUAAAAGUGUUUUAGGUAAUGGUGCAACAUUUAUUAGCCAAAUAGUUUUAUCCUUUAUCGGGAUUACUUUUCUUCGCGCACGGUCACGGUGUAAUUAGGAUUGCUAGUGGGGCUAGCCAAUCAAAACGCCGCUAGGCCACCGUUGCAGCCGAAGGGUAUAAAUAGGGGUGAGCAUGGAGGCUCAGGCGUUUCACCGGUACCGGGUAGGUAUCCUUACGCCAGCUCGCAAGAUAGUAGUCUUAUUCAUACACCAGUAUUCUUGUCAAGUUAUAUUCUCUUAUAGUUAUAUUAUCUUAGCAUAAUAGAGAACUCUCACCUUACUUUAAGAGUUUGGCUCUUAGUACUUUGAGUGGUGUCUCUUAUAGUUAUAUACUCUUAUAGUUAUAUUAUCUUAGCAUAAUAGAGAACACUCACCUUACUUUAAGAGUUUGGCUCUUAGUUCUUUGAGUGGUGUUUCAUAUGUAUAUUCUCUUAGCAUAGUAUAGAUACUCACCUUACUUUAAGGGCUGAUCUCUGGGUAAAUAUUAUCUCCGUUAGUCAUGAGUUGCCUUUUAAUCUAAGUACAGUCUAGGAAACUUACCAUAAUAUUAGGUUGUAAUACUCUGAAUCAAUGUGAAGUUGAUUCCUUAAUUCUAGUCGACUCAUAGGAUAAUAUAUAGGAUAAUAGGAUAGUGUUGAUUAGUGUUGUGUUCGAGAAUUGGAGAGUUGUCUCCCUUCUAUCAAUUAUAAACAGAAUAGGGCCUGUUCUGAUAACCUUCAACUUUAUUAAUCACUCGUCAUACAUAUAUUAUGGUGAAUGCAUGUUGUGUAAAUACUGAGUACAUUCCUUAUUGCCAUUUAUGUAAAAAUGGUCUCAUUGUUGAAAAUAGUGAUUAUUGUGAUUCAUUUGUACAUAUUCAUCACAUGUUGUGACUUUUAAAUAGAAUAAUAUAUUUAUAGAACUGGA
rnacentral:lncRNA from 1 species